GGUUAAAGUUUAGAAAGGCGCACGGUGGAUGCCUUGGCACUAGGAGCCGAUGAAGGACGGACGAAACACCGAAUAUGCUUCGGGGAGCUGUAAGCAAGCUUUGAUCCGGAGAUUUCCGAAUGGGGAAACCCACUGCUCGUAAUGGAGUAGUAUCCAUACUUGAAUACAUAGAGUAUGAGAAGGCAUACCCGGGGAACUGAAACAUCUAAGUACCCGGAGGAAGAGAAAGCAAAUGCGAUUCCCUGAGUAGCGGCGAGCGAAACGGGAACAGCCCAAACCAAGAGGCUUGCCUCUUGGGGUUGUAGGACACUCUAUACGGAGUUACAAAGGAACGAUAUAAGCGAAGAGGUCUGGAAAGGCCCGCCAAAGAAAGGUAAACCAGCCCUGUAACUGAAAUGUUGUUCCUCUCCAGAGUGGAUCCUGAGUACGGCGGAAACACGUGAAAUUCCGUCGGAAUCCGGGAGGGACCAUCUCCCCAAGGCUAAAUACUUCCCUAGUGACCGAUAGUGAACCAGUACCGUGAAGGGAAAAAGGUGAAAAGCACCCCGGAAGGUGAGUCAGAGCCCGUUAAUGGGUGAUGGCGUGCCUUUGUAGAAUGAACCGGCGAGUACGAUCCCGUGCAGAAGUUAAGCAGAAGAUGCGGGACCGCAGCGAAAGCGAGUCUGAAUAGGGCGGCAUGAGUACGGUGGUCGUAGACCCCGAAAACCAGGUGAUCACCAUGUCCAGGUGAAGUCAGGUAACACUGAAUGGAGGCCCGAACCCACGCACGUUGAAAAGUGCGGGGAUGAGGUGUGGUAGGGUGAAAUGCCAAUCGACCUGGAGAUAGCUGGUCUCUCCGAAAUAGCUUUAGGGCUAGCCCUCAAGGUAAGAGUCUCGGAGGUAGAGCAACUGAUUGGACUAGGGGCCCCUACCGGGUUACCGAAUUCAGUCAAACUCCGAAUGCCGAUGACUUAUCCUUGGGAGUCAGACUGCGAGUGAUAAGAUCCGUAGUCGAAAGGGAAACAGCCCAGACCGCCAGCUAAGGUCCCAAAGUAUACGUUAAGUGGAAAAGGAUGUGGAGUUGCUUAGACAACCAGGAUGUUGGCUUAGAAGCAGCCACCAUUUAAAGAGUGCGUAAUAGCUCACUGGUCGAGUGACUCUGCGCCGAAAAUGUACCGGGGCUAAACGUAUCACCGAAGCUGCGGACUGUUCUACGAAACAGUGGUAGGAGAGCGUUCUUAAGUGCUGUGAAGUCAGACCGGAAGACUGGUGGAGCGCUUAGAAGUGAGAAUGCCGGUAUGAGUAGCGAAAGACGGGUGAGAAUCCCGUCCACCGAAUGCCAAGUUCCUGAGGAAGGCUUCGUCCGCUCAGGGUUAGUCGGGACCUAAGCCGAGGCCGAAAGGCGUAGGCGAUGGACAACAGGUUGAUAUUCCUGUACCACCUCCUCACCAUUUGAGCAAUGGGGGGACGCAGGAGGAUAGGGUAAGCGCGGUAUUGGAUAUCCGCGUCCAAGCAGUUAGGCUGGGAAAUAGGCAAAUCCGUUUCCCGUAAAGGCUGAGCUGUGAUGGCGAGCGAAAUUUAGUAGCGAAGUUCUUGAUUCCACACUGCCAAAAGCCUCUAGCGAGGUGAGAGGUGCCCGUACCGGCAAACCGACACAGGUAGGCGAGGAGAGAAUCCUAAGGUGAUCGAGAGAAACUCUCGUUAAAGGAAACUCGGCAAAAUGACCCGUAACUUCGGGAGAAGGGUGCUUCUUAGGGUGUUAAAGCCCCGAAGAGCCGCGUGAAAUAGGCCCAGGCGACUGUUUAGCAAAAACACAGGUCUCUGCGAAGCCGUAAGGCGAAGUAUAGGGGCUGACGCCUGCCCGGUGCUGGAAGGUUAAGAGGAGCGCUUAGCGUAAGCGAAGGUGCGAAUUGAAGCCCCAGUAAACGGCGGCCGUAAACUAUAACGUCCUAAAGGUAGCGAAAUUCCUUGUCGGGUAAGUUUCCGACCCGCCACGAAAGGCGCAACGAUCUGGGCACUGUCUCAACGAGAGACUCGUGAAAUUAUAGUACCUGUGAAGAUGCAGGUUACCCGCGACAGGACGGAAAGACCCCGUGGAGCUUUACUGCAGCCUGAUAUUGAAUGUUGGUACAGCUUGUACAGGAUAGGUAGGAGCCUUGGAAACCGGAGCGCUAGCUUCGGUGGAGGCAUCGGUGGGAUACUACCCUGGCUGUAUUGACCUUCUAACCCGCUGCCCUUAUCGGGCAGGGAGACAGUGUCAGGUGGGCAGUUUGACUGGGGCGGUCGCCUCCUAAAAUGUAACGGAGGCGCCCAAAGGUUCCCUCAGAAUGGUUGGAAAUCAUUCGCAGAGUGUAAAGGCACAAGGGAGCUUGACUGCGAGACCUACAAGUCGAGCAGGGACGAAAGUCGGGCUUAGUGAUCCGGUGGUUCCGCAUGGAAGGGCCAUCGCUCAAACGGAUAAAAGCUACCCGGGAUAACAGGCUUAUCUCCCCCAAGAGUCCACAUCGACGGGGAGGUUUGGCACCUCGAUGUCGGCUCAUCGCAUCCUGGGGCUGUAAGUCGUCCAAGGGUUGGGCUGUUCGCCAUUAAAGCGGGUAACGCGAGCUGGGUUCAAGAACGUCGUGAGACAGUUUCGGUCCCCUAUCCCGUCGCGGCGCAGAAAUUUGAGAGGAGCUGUCCUUAGUACGAGAGGACCGGGAUGGACGCACCGCUGUGUUACCCAGUGUUCUGCCAAGGGCAUCGCUGGGUAGCUAUGUGCGGACCGGAAUAGUGCUGAAAGCAUCUAGCAUGAAGCCCCCUCAAGAUGAAGAUUUCCCAUCCGCAAGGAAGUAAGAUCCCUGAAAGAUGAUCAGGUUGAUAGGUCUGAGGUGGAAGCGUGGUGACACGUGGAGCUGACAGAUACUAAUAGAUCGAGGACUUAACCUA
rnacentral:rRNA from 1 species